UCUCCGUAGGUGAACCUGCGGAGGGAUCAUUACAGAGUUCAUGCCCUACCGGGUAGAUCUCCCACCCUAUGUUAUUAUUACUUUGUUGCUUUGGCGGGCCGUUAGGCUCCGGCCCGACUACCGGCCCCGGCUGGUAAGCGCCCGCCAGAGGACCCAAAACCCCGAAUAUUAGUGUCGUCUGAGUACUAUAUAAUAGUUAAAACUUUCAACAACGGAUCUCUUGGUUCUG
rnacentral:misc_RNA from 1 species